rnacentral:tRNA from 1 species
GCUGGCGUAGCUCAGCUGGUAGAGCAGCUGCCUUGUAAGCAGCAGGUCGCGGGUUCGAGUCCCACCGCCAGCUCCA